rnacentral:rRNA from 1 species
GACGAACGCUGGCGGCGUGCUUAACACAUGCAAGUCGAACGGAAAGGCCCUGCUUUUGUGGGGUGCUCGAGUGGCGAACGGGUGAGUAACACGUGAGUAACCUGCCCUUGACUUUGGGAUAACUUCAGGAAACUGGGGCUAAUACCGGAUAGGAGCUCCUGCUGCAUGGUGGGGGUUGGAAAGUUUCGGCGGUUGGGGAUGGACUCGCGGCUUAUCAGCUUGUUGGUGGGGUAGCGGCUUACCAAGGCUUUGACGGGUAGCCGGCCUGAGAGGGUGACCGGCCACAUUGGGACUGAGAUACGGCCCAGACUCCUACGGGAGGCAGCAGUGGGGGAUAUUGCACAAUGGGCGGAAGCCUGAUGCAGCAACGCCGCGUGCGGGAUGACGGCCUUCGGGUUGUAAACCGCUUUCGCCUGUGACGAAGCGUGAGUGACGGUAAUGGGUAAAGAAGCACCGGCUAACUACGUG